GUCCACAAACGAUCAUGGCGCAGUCGCCGUGUGCUGUGUGCCCAGGACCUGCCCGGGACUCAGGCUGCCAGGAGGGGUGCAGCGCACAGUCAGGACCCCGCCAGAGGAAGAGAGGCCUGGAGUUGCUGGUGGCUGAGCAAAGGAGAGAGGAGAGCGCGGGCUGAGAGCCACGGGGCGGGGGAGACCUCCGCACUGGCAUGACCUGGGCCGGGCCGCCCCAGGGGAAGGAAGCCUGGCGUCUGUGGUUUUUCUACUGUGUUCUGGAAUCUGGAUAUUUUGAGGAUAACCAGUGUGCCCCAUGCUGGCCAAAAUUCCUGGAAUGACAACCCUCAGGUCUCUGAUCCAUCCUGAGUCAUCUUUGGUAUCAGGUUCCUACCACCCUUAUAGAAGGAAACAAUACAGCAGAACAAAGUAACCGCUAUUCCAGAUGCCUCUUUCUGUUGCUUCUCAUCAUAUGCUACCACAUCCCAGAAAGCCUCAGCUAAGCAUUUGUCCCAGUUAUCACAGAAGGAAGAUGCAGUUUCUGGUAAUAUAUGAGUUUUAAUUCCACCAUAA